rnacentral:rRNA from 1 species
AGAGUUUGAUUAUGGCUCAGGAUGAACGCUAGCUACAGGCUUAACACAUGGCAAGGUCGAGGGGUAGCAGGGUAGCAAUACCGCUGACGACCGGCGCACGGGUGAGUAACACGUAUCCAACCUUCCCAUAACUCAGGGAUAGCCUUUCGAAAGAAAGAUUAAUACCUGAUGGUACUUUUUCAAGGCAUCUUGAAAAAGUUAAGAUUUAUUGGUAUGGAUGGGAUGCGUUCCAUUAGAUAGUUGGUGAGGUAACGGCUCACCAAGUCUUCGAUGGAUAGGGGUUCUGAGAGGAAGGUCCCCCCACAUUGGUACUGAGACACGGACCAAACUCCUACGGGAGGCAGCAGUGAGGAAUAUUGGUCAAUGGGCGAGAGCCUGAACCAGCCAAGUAGCGUGAAAAGGAUGAAGGUCCUAUGGAUUGUAAACUUCUUUUAUAGUAGAAUAAAGUGAGCCACGUGUGGUUUUUUGUAUGUAUACUAUGAAUAAGGAUCGGCUAACUCCGUGCCAGCCGCGGC